AGGCUUUGAUUCACCCAGGUCCAGAUCGCUUUAUUAGCAUUGCUAAAAUGCUAAGAGCCUCCACCACUGAUAACCUUCUGUUCAAUGGGAUCAUCUGCUACAUAUGUGAUCCUUGCAGAGAUAAUCUGGAAAGGUGUGUUUAUUGCACUUCUGUAGAUAUGGAUGUGCCUGCCAGUUUCACAACGUGUCCUUGGUUAGAAGCCUGUUGCUUAGCAAUAGUUCAAGAUAAGGAAUAUAUAAAUCCCUGAAUGCUCAAUUUUUAGGUCUUCGGGUGCUCAGAAGAGGGGUGUGUAAAACAGUUGUGCUUUUGCCUGGAGCCCCCUAACACAGUCUUAAUCUUUGUUAGCCAGGAACAGUAUCUAAUUAUCAGAAUGUGCAAGAUGUCCCUCCCUGCACCCAGCCAGCUGCAGAGUAAGCAGAUGGGGUGACAACCAGCCAUGCUUCCUGCCUGGAGAUUAAGUGCGGAAAGAGCCACUCCAACCUACAGGGCCUCCUUCACAGGGUGAUGAUGUGGAGGGAGCCAAGGACUCUUACUUGUUACUUAGGGCUGGAGGGAAUGGUCUUAGGUUGCACCAGGGGAGGUUCAGGUGGAAUAGUAGGAGAAAUUUCUUCUCAGAAAGAACAGUGCUGCAGAGGCACAGGCUGCCCAGGGAGGUGGUGCAGUCACCGUCCGUGGGGGUGUUCAAAGAUCCAUGUGGAUGUGGCACUGAGGGACAAAGUUAGUGGGCACGGUGGGGAUGGGCUGGAGUUGGACUGGAUGAUUUUAGUGGUCUUUUCCAGUCUUAAUGAAUCUAUGAUAGAAUAGCUCUUUCUGCUUCUGUGCAUGCAAUUCAUGCAGCAUCUGUAGCCAGAGGUCACCUCAUGUUUGUAACUUAUGAUUCCUCGUGGUCAUCAGUCACCAAUUCAUUUCGUGAGCCAAGGGGAUGGUGGUUCCACAUUGUUUAUAUCACACAGACCGUGACCACAGCUGGGGCUGGUCUCACCUAACAAGGAACCUGCAUCUGCCCCAUAGCGAUAGGUCACCUCUUUUCACUCCUGCUUCCUGAGCAGUUUUCUCCACCCCGUGUUCUGUCCCUAGUGCUUCCGAGCAAUGUGGCUGGGGAGGAGGUGAGCUGUGCUGCCGCUCACACAGAGCCCUCGUGCUCUGCCAGCUCCUCCUCCAUGUGAAAGGCAGGAGCUAAGAGCUGCAUGAACUUGGCAGCAGCACCAGGUUUGAACUGACUUGACACAUUGGAUGCAAAUAGAGUCAUAAAGUAUAUGUGGCAGCGUGAUGCAUAUUAAAGCGAUCCGGGGGGUAGUGUUUCCAGCGACUGUAUUCUUAGUAACGGGGAGAAGCGAUCUUCCCACCUUAGCUGCGAGCUGCGAUGCCCACCAAGGGGCUGUUGGGAGCUGGGGCCGUGCUGGCCCCAAAGCAGGGUUUGAAGGCCUGGGUCCUGCUCGGCCCCGUGCCCGCUGUCCUCAGAGGCCCCGCACUGCAGACCCAGGGCAAGCGCUGGCUCCUCUUGGAGCUCCCAGCAGCAUGUAGGAAAACAUGCCCGAGAAAUGACUGCAUUCCCUUGGGAGCGAGGAAGGACCAACCCGGCUAAAAUGGGAGGAGAAAGUUUUAUAUCCAGGCAGUUAGUAACGCUUUAUUUGGAAGAACAGCGCUGUUUGCCUGGUGCUUCUCGGAGCUUUGGCUUAAUAUUAAAAUGACCUCUGCACAAACGUUCCCCUGCCGCUUCCCAGAGGAGAAGGCAGAAGUUACAGCUCUUUCCAUCAGCUCUCUCCUUGGCUCAGAGCUCACAGCCCAGGCUGCGGCCCAGACACAGGGGCAGCAUCCCAAUAGCUCAUGGCACAGCUGAUGUCUGCUGGAGGCCCCAUGGGAAGGCUCUGUGGUCCAAACCCUUCUGCAGCAGGGUCACUGAGAGCAGGCUGGUCCCAUGCAGUGUUGGCUGUUUCCAGGGGUGGGUACCAUACAGCCAGUUGGGACAACCUGUUCCACUGCUUCUCCAUACUCAUUGCAAGACGUCUGGGUUCAUGAUAAAAUGGAAUUUCUUGUGUCUCACUGCCACCACCAACAUGCCCACAUCUGAGUCACGCCGAGAGCCCAGAGAAGACAGAGAAGGGCUGCCUUCCUGCUGUGCAGCUCCUUGGUGCAGCUUGUCCCCAUGUCAGCUGGCUGCUCAUGCCUCCUGCAGGCAGAAGGUUGGCUUCUGACAGGUUUAAAUGCCUACUCAUGUUCUUGUGAGCAUAUGAAGUCAUACGUAAAGCCAUACUUGUAGCACAGGCUCAGAGUGUGCUUUGCAAUCUCUGGUUGCAGGGUUCAGGACUACCUUUGCUCUCUGCCGCCAGUGUCAAGGUGCCAACAAAGGCAUCUCAAUCAUACCUUGUCUCUUCUGUAAGUUACUGUUUAACCUGGUAGGAAUACUACUGUCUUAUGGCCUCUAACACCCAAGAACAUCAAUGUUCGGGCUGUAAGAGCCCUCCUUUGCAUUCUUCUGGGAAGGUUUGGUCAUGGAAGUUACUUUUACUGCAUCCAGUCUCUCCAAAUACAUCUCCAGUUUUCCUGUCUCUACCUCAAGCGCUCUGUGCUGAAGCCCGGAAUAGCAGCUGUUGCCUCUCAUGUUAACUGAGAGGAGCACAGGACACUGAGGCGUCCGGUUUCUCAUCACUUACGGGCUGGAUAAAAGUAUCUCUUGUACUGACUAGUCCAUCAAAUAUGAAUGAUGCAGAUAGAGUGGCUGUUUACACACAGUGAUCUAUUUUAGUUAAAUUGAAAACACACACAGGGGAGUGUUUCAGCUUUGUGGAUAGGAAACACUGGAAACGUGUUUGUUUUGUUUUGUCUUUUCUGCUUGCCAGGGACAGUUGUUUCUCAGGGGUGCUCGGCCUGCAGCCGGGAGAGAAGGACUGAUGCGCAGGUAGCUCUCAACCACUUGGAACUAAGCAUGGAACCAAGCACAAGGUGCUGGCCUCCCUUUAUCACUGUAAUUUUAUCUUAAUGCUCACAUCUUUUGCAUAGCAUUAGCGAGAGCGUUUACAAAGCUGGUCCCUCUGGAGGAUGACAGCAAUUGUUUUGCUUCAUGUUUAAUGGCUUCCUCUCCCUCUGGACUCCGUGCCAGUGCAUGCUGUAACGAGUGAGAUCUGGAAGAGCAUUAUAGCCUCCCUUCAUCUAUGAGGACACUUUUUACAAAGAAAUCUAUUUUGCGCCACCGUGAAUGACACCAACACACAAAUUAAAGACACGGGCGCAAUAACCGCACACAGAGAGCGUUGUCUGCAGCAAACUCAUUAGCGGAAUGAAUUACUCUGAAGAAAAUCACUUAACCUUUGCAGAUUCCCCGGUACCGUGUUUAUUAAUGCCGUGGCUUUGUUUUGAGGUAACAUCUCCGUGCUAUCUGCAAACACGCUCCAGAUCUGAAAAUUAAUGUUACAACAUUAUGGCUGCCUCUGAAGAUGCUAAUUAUACGGAAAGCAAAAUGUGAGUUCUUGUCUGCUCUCCCAAACCUGCCAUCUACAAAGACUUCUGAAACCAGAACCGAACGAUGUGGAGCUAAGCUUAUUCUGGGGAGGGAAAGAUGAAAGGAAAGAAGAUGAAUGGCUUUGGUUUCCAUGGGUAAAUGCUGAUGGCAAGCAGGAAGCUUCUCCGCACCGCCCUCGUGCAGGGCUCUGUGGCUCACGUUUUGCUGGGGAAAAUAUUUUUCCAGCAGCAAAUUGAGAUGAGGGAGAAGAGCAGAGUAACUUCUUUGGCAAAGGGUCUGCUCUGGUUACAGAACAAUGCUCAGGGUGCACGGGGUUCCUUCAGGAAGGCUGCUAGCAGGAACAUGGCAGCUCUUCUAAUACUGCAAGGAGUCCCAAACAGGAUGCAUCAGGAAUAGCACGCUCGGGGCUGAGCAGAAACGCCGCUGCAGGAGGCUGUAUGUGUGCGGGAGGGGAGGUGCUCUCAGUGGCAACGCAUCCCUGAGGCUUCCUAUGGUAUUUCUGUGCUCACUGCUGCUCAGCUGGUGAUUGCUCACUGCCAAUUCUGCGGUGCCUCAACGGCAGCACCACAAUGGCUGUCCCGCUUGGUGUGACGGGUAAUGGGGAGCGGCGGCUGCAUGUCAGCAGGGUGACUUGCUGGGCAGAGUGCUGCUGGCAGCAUCAUGCAGGCACCGGGGCUGCGAAACAAAAGCAAUGGAAAGAAAAACUGAUUCAGAAUUAUUUCAGGGACGUGCUUAUGGAAAUGAAAGCAGAUGAUGAUUCUGGUAUGGACUGAUGCUCCAUGAAAAUGUGAGUUGUGGAGUCUGAUGCUGCUUCUGUGACACAGUUGAUUCUGCUUCUGCUGGGAGAAUGUGUGUCACUGUUCGCUGGAUGUUAUCACUCAUAUCUUAUAUGGCUAUAAUUACAACCCUACAGAGCACAUUAGUGGAGGACGAAGGUUGUUGACUCCCACUGAUACACUCCAGGUGACAGUGGUACAAAUGCCAUGAAACUUUGGCCUUGAGGGGAAAGCGUCAGCAGAAGCUGCUUGGAGUCAUUGCACCAAUUGCAUGAGCCGUGCUGUUCUGAAAUGAACAGACAGGCAGUGUGAGCCUGGCUGAGCCUUCAGCCUCCUCAAAGGGCCGGAGCCCUGAGCUGCCUGAAAAGACAGCAGUUCUGUGGUGCUGGUCCUGGUACACGCUUGCGCAGACAGGAUCACAGAGCUUUGCAACUAAUGAUAAUAAUUUGCUGCUUCUGCACAUCGGCAUCAUCUGUCACUUAAUCCUCUAACCUUUGUAUCUAGACACUGUGAAUUCCUUGCAGCAUACCUGCUGGCACCGAAAGGAGGAUUGGGUACAGGGGUGUCACAACACUGCCAGGGAAGGGGGUGGGUCUGAAAAGGGGCAUGGGGAGAGGCAAGGUGAUGGCAUUUCACUUGCUGCAAGAAAGCAACUUGUAAGAAACUGCUAAUUUCGUGAGGUUAUGGGUCAACAGGUUCAGCCUCCUCUAAAUGAUGUGAACACUCAUAUUUAUUGCUGUAGGUUAUAACAGGUUAACUCCGCAUAUCGAGAUCAGGAGAUUUCUCAAGAGCAAUUCAAAGUGCUUUACAUAUGGGCUGAACAACUGAAGUGUGGAUUCUGUAAAAGCUCCUGAUCCAGAAGCUGUAAUUUGCAGAGACAUGCCGAGCAAGGUUAUUUAUUCCUUGUGGAGGCUUGCAGGAACAUACAUUGCACUGACUUACUUAGACUUCUUCAACAGAGGCAAGAGAGAACAAGAUGGUACUAAGGUAGAUUCUUAGUCAUCCUUUCUGUAAAAAGACGAACAUAAAUUUUAGACUUGCUCUUCCAAUGAAACCAGAUCAGCCCUCAGUUUGAAACAGAGGCCAUUGCCCAGUAACCUGAAGCUAAAACAACACUGUGCAUCUUACCAGCGUUCUCUUAUCACAAAUGUGUAUUUCCUAACUGUAAUAACAGGAUUCAAGCCUUGAACAGAAAGGCCUCCCACACACUGAGCAUCUCUUUAUAUUUUAGUUUUUGCAUAGUGACGUUGCAGAACUCUUUGUGAGCUGAUGAAUAUUUCUGUUUCCAUUGUAGGUUGGUAACAGUGCCGUUCCUUCACGUGGGACGAUAGGGCACACAGCUGGUUUGCUGGCAGUUUGGAUCUCCUGUUAGUCAUCAGCACGAGUGAAAAGAUACGUACAUGGGUUGGAGAAACUGGGUCCUCUGUCAGAUCUGUUGAUCAAAUAUUUGGAGAGGUACAAGUUGAAUAAGUUUCUCAACAGUGUAAAAGAGCUGCUACUCCCUAAUUCCAUGGUGAAUGUAAGACAUUUCCUCUAGCUGCUCUUUCACAAACUGUGCACGCCCCUUGUUUUUACAGACACUUGGAUUUUGUGCUCUUCUUUUUCUUUAAGCUCCUCCACACAAACACAUUCUCAUCUCCCACCUCACCCUCCCAAACUCAGUCAUCUCUGUGCAUGAUUGACCUAAGUGAUCACCAUGGUUUCCAAUUCAAUUCGAGUCCCCAAAGAGGACUUUUAAUUAAGAAGCUCUAAUAGGAUCUGGACAAAAACGCGUAAGUCACUGGUCUUCAGGCUGAGAGCUGCAGAUCCCGGGGGUGUCCGCGGCCAAAUAGCAAGGGGCCCUAAACAUGUCUCUUUCAGAAAGGUCAUAUCCUACACGGAAAUCUACCUAAGUAUAUCCAGCAGAUCAAGACAUCUGCAGGAAAAUUCCUAGGUAUCACUAGAACUUGAAGAGUCCUGUAAUAGGCUGCUGCUGAGCAGUGAGUGGAAGGCAGAACUGCAGAGGAAUGGCUGCAUGUGAUGCUACAGGGUGUCCAGGCAGGCAUUUGAGCAGGCCAGGCUUUAAUCACCAUUGCCUGAACUGCAGAUGUGUACAUGGAUGGGAUUUCCAAAAGCACUUGGUAUCAGUCCAUAUUUAUUUUGGCAGGAGAGAUCCCACCUUGUGAAGCAGUACAUGCUGGUGUUUACCCAGCAGCUCUCACUAGCUGCCAGAAAACAACUCGUAGCAGCAGGAUGCUGUGUUUGGUGCAGAAGCACUCAGAGGUGAUGCUUUCACAGCAGGAACUUGAGCUUUGGCCACAUAUAGGAACAACGGGUUGGGACUGGAAAGCACUUUUGGACUCCUUUAAGCACAGUUUACUCUGAGAAGCAAAGUUCCAGAGAACAGGAGCUGUGCUUAAACUUGAAAUAACUUUGGUGAAUAGUUCUUGGCUGGGAGACAAAAUGGGAAAUGUAAAUGUUCUCUGUAGAUUGUUUCAGGAUUAAACAUCUUGAAUUUCUGUUUCAAAAUGCUCUCCCUUCUGGCAAUUCUCUCACAACUUCUGGUCAUAUAAAUCUGAGUUAUUGAAGAUAGUGCUUGAGGACUCCUGUCAGAACAAUACUUUGUUUAAUUGGAAUUUUUUUUUUUUUAAAGCUCUAUUUGGUUGAAAAUCUCUGAAGUUUUCCUUUGGAAUGUAGCUUGAAACAAAUGAUUUUCUCUCAGCUUAUUACUUCUCGCUUGGCUGUCUGAACAGAAAGCGUUUUGCAAGUACCCAAAGGGAACGAUGGGAAGUUGUAAGAAGAAAUCCACAAAUAGAAGGCUCAGUGUUGGUAUGAAACCAAGGCUCUGGCUUUUUAAGAAGGCCCUUUGAAUCCUGCCCAACAGGCCGACGUGUGAAUGCUCUGGAAGCUCUUGAAUGGAGACAGCUAUUUCCAAACAGCCACAGGAGUAACUGACUGUAGCAAAAGGAUGAUUAAUGGCAUCAUGGCCAAAGUAAGGCUUUCCCAUGAACUACAAGGUGUAGGCCAAAACGUCCUUUGCAACUGGAUCAGUUUUAUUCAUCAGAUGAGAGUAUCUUACAACAAGAACAACUGUUUGAUUAUAUUGAAAAACAACAGCCACAACCAUGAUGACAGUAUUCGGG